UACGUAGGGCGCAAGCGUUGUCCGGAAUUAUUGGGCGUAAAGAGCUCGUAGGCGGCUUGUCGCGUCGGUUGUGAAAGCCCGGGGCUUAACCCCGGGUCUGCAGUCGAUACGGGCAGGCUAGAGUGUGGUAGGGGAGAUCGGAAUUCCUGGUGUAGCGGUGAAAUGCGCAGAUAUCAGGAGGAACACCGGUGGCGAAGGCGGAUCUCUGGGCCAUUACUGACGCUGAGUGAGCGAAAGCCAGGGGAGCAAACGGG
rnacentral:rRNA from 1 species